rnacentral:rRNA from 1 species
GAUGAACGCUAGCUACAGGCUUAACACAUGCAAGUCGAGGGGAAACGACAUCGAAAGCUUGCUUUUGAUGGGCGUCGACCGGCGCACGGGUGAGUAACGCGUAUCCAACCUGCCCAUCACUUGGGAAUAACCUUGCGAAAGUAAGACUAAUACCCAAUGAUAUCCCACGAAGGCAUCGGAAUGGGAUUAAAGAUUUAUCGGUGAUGGAUGGGGAUGCGUCUGAUUAGCUUGUUGGCGGGGUAACGGCCCACCAAGGCAACGAUCAGUAGGGGUUCUGAGAGGAAGGGCCCCCACAGUGGAACUGAGACACGGCCAAACCUCCGAGGGGAGGCAACAUGGGGGAAUGGGGGCAAAGGGGGGGAGGCCUAAACCAGCAAAGAAAGGGUAAGGAAGACGGCCCUAGGGUGUGUAAAAGGCUUUUAUAAGGGAAAAAAGUGGGUCACGUGGGACUUUUGGCAGUACCCUAAGAAAGAAGGACGGGCAAAUUCCGG